UGAUAUCUAUAUGUUUUAUUACUCUGUUAAGAAGUUAGUCCCAAUUUCUCGCUUCGUACAGAUUACGAUUGUAGUUGUACUAACUUUAAGAAGCACAUUGACCGCUGUCUUAUCAACGACUCUGCAUCUAAAGGUAAACCUCGAACAAACUCGAAACUCCAUAAGACUGUCAUUUUUACGCGACAUAGCCCCCGGUCAUAAAACGACGACGUAAAGUGACGCGACCUGGUCGACGAAGAACGAAGUUACGCGUGUGGUUGCGACAUCAUCGAUGUAAUCGUCGAGCACAAUCAGCUGUGAGGGAUCCGGCUCGACCGUUCCGAGGCUUUGCACGACCGUGUUAGAGCUUGCGAAGUGGCUUAAACAACAGCCAGACGACGAGUUGACGUAGGCUAUUCGAAGUUCCUGAGAGCUGGCCAAACAUUGAUACCCCAGAAUUCGACCUAAUAAAUUCGCGCGUUUCUUGUGAUUGACUUGCCGUUACGGCAGCAACAGUCGCAAUCUCUGAUCAGCGGCUUAACACUCGAGAAGAUUUGCCAACGAGAGCGAACCACUGGAAGAAGGGACGAAAGAGGCGAGCAGGGGUUGGUUUCUGGGUAAAGUUUCUGGACCGGGGACAGAGGUACGCUGGAUAAGCCGGAUUAAGAAUAGCCUUACACGAAUUCGUCGAAUUAUCUCCCUCUCGAGGAAUAAUUACGCUUGGAAAUGUUCGCUGUCUCGAACACGUGUCAUUUCUAGAAAGAGAAUCGCGUCACAGCGAGAGAAUUGUCUUAUCCAACGGAUUAUUCGUUUCGAAUUUUUAUCAGGUUCGAGGAGUUAAAUUUACGAGGGAGGAUAACGAAUCGGUGAGGAUACUCGCGUUAUAUUUGUUUAUGGUCGACGAUGAAUUUGCGAAGAAGUAGGGUCGGUGAAGAUUUAUUUGAUGUUUUUAGAUAUAUUUAUUAUUUUUCAGUUGGUAGAAUAUUUCUUCGUCGUAGUUUAUCGAUAUUGAUAUUAUCAUUACUUUAUCCCAAUUUUAUUUCGAGUAUUUGCGUAAUUAUUUUGUUCUAAUAUUUCGUUUUUCGUUGCUGACAAAAAACGAUGCACGAAUAUUUGACAACGCUGUAUAUUUAUCGAGGCUGCAGUUAUACUAUGUUUUAUAUAAUUAUAUUUAUAAUUAUAAUUUAACGAUUCUGUAAUAAUUGCGCGAUAUAAUUGCAGAAUAUUAUUUACUGCACCUAUUACAACGUAAUUUUGCUAAAAAAUUACAUCGCCUAUUUGAUUACUCGACUCUUGGCUCGUGACUUCGUUUUUGUUCUUUGCGAACAAAUUAAGGGACAAAAGCUGUGCGAUAAAACAAGGGCACGACCCUUUUCUACGUUAUAUAAAACACCUUCCAUUCUUACAAACGAGUCCAAAACGCUAAAGGAAUUAUGUACAUACACACACAGUUCCUUCUAUACUUAUUUUCUGCCAAAGCAAUUCUCGUAAGUUACACGUACAUCGAGCGAAACAUACCAUCAACGAGAUAAGUGCAAACGAAACGUCCAAACAGAGGUACCGAAGUGCGGGUGUAUUUAAUCGGUGGUUUACAACGAGUCGUUCGUUUUUAAUCGAAAGAUUUCACGAUUGGCGAUCUAAAUGUUCCACGAACGAUCGGAGGGAAUGGCCCGCAAAGCUCUUUACGACUGACACAUCGAACACGGGCGAUUCCAACCGAUCCACGACCGAUCGACACUCGUUCUCUCGCGUUUUACAUUAUUUAUGCGCGGUCGUGUUCAACCACGGCUGGACGUAUAAUAUUUCCGUGCGACACUUCAAGUAACGUAUCGAUAAAUCAACCGGCGGAAAAUGAGGACGGAACGAGAAGACACGACAACGCGAUUUCGACGCGAAUCCUGUCGGUCCACUUCUGCUGUCUCCUUGUCGGUCCGUUUUCCGCCGAUUAUUUACGACUCGCAAUUUGGGUCGAAUACCGACCGUCCGUCGGAAUUCACGCUCGUUUAUCAUGCGAGGAAAUUAUUCCUAAUUUAAUGGGACAAUAUGGUCACGCCGGGAAUUCGUCGUACCCUGUGCGAGCCGCAACGCUGCGAUUGUGAAAAGGCGUUCGGUCGAAUGGCCUUUCGGUCUGAUUGAAACGACGGUGAAAGUUCGGUGUUUGAAAAAUGUUGUGCAUCGUUGCAGGCUUGAAUUAUGGAUAAAGGUGGAUAAAAAUAGCCGUUGUUUUUUACACUUUGCGCCUAGACGUUCCUUCUAGCGUUAAAAAAAUUCUUGAACAACGUAAGAAUACGUAUGAAUAUGUAUGAAAAAUGAGAAAUAGAAUUAUCCGUUUUGAAGUUACAUUUGUGUGAAAUGCGGUGCCAUCUGUGAGUUGUUACAUGUAACAACUUACCCCGAGGGACAUAAUACUGAUGUAAAUGCUGAAAGAAUUUCGAUCCUUUUACGGCAAUACAUAUUAUCUACGAAUAUUUUCUUCUUUUUUUUCUUAUUAUUUAAUUUCUACUUUACAAUUUGUCCAGCUGGACGUUUGGUAAAUUUUUCUAACUUAAUUGCUAAAUAACGCGUGGAUGGCUACACCCAGCGGGAUACCAUCUUCGAGUUUGACUAUUUUAUUUCUCUAUGAAUAUUUCUCGAUAUUUCGUUUGAAAUAUAAUUCCCUGGACUAUUAUUACUACGUUAAGUAAAUAUAAAAUAUUUUAAAAAGUCUAUUUUAGAUCUUAAAGACCAAAGAAGACUACAGGAUAAAGACAUGGUCGCAUAUGUAUGUACAAGGGAGCAAUUUUAGAAUAAUAGAACAAUAAGAAAGAUCUUUUCGUUUAGCUUUUGCAUCGAGUCUCUUUCUUUCUUUCUUCCUGUAUUGGUCCUACGUUAUUUCUAAACAUCAAAGUAAUCCAUUUAAGGCAACAUAACAAAUAUAACUUGCGCGAACAGAAACAAGAUUGCGGCUAUAAUUACUGCAAAAUGGCGAAACAUUAUUUACGGAAGAAAAGGGGUGAAUUCAUAAACGCGCAAGGUAAUCAUUUCCCCUAAAUUUUGUCUUGAAAUUAGCUUCUCUAUAAAGGAGGAACGGCACAAUCUUGCACACGCAUACACCUCAUAUAAUUAUAGAGUAAUCCCCGUUACCAUAAGAAUAUAGUGAAAUGGAAAAAUAAGAUAAAGCUGAAAAACCAUUAGAAAAUUGUUAAAACCUUUAGAAAUAUGAGUAUAAGAGUAUAAUAAAUGCUAAUUUCAUUUGAAAAUAUUUCAUGAUAUCCUCUUUAUCCAAAUACUGCAAUAUUAAGUCAAGCGUUAUUAAACGCAUAAAUAUGUAAAACUAAAAAACUAUGAAGUAUAUAAAACUUUUAUAUAGCACAUGUGUACAAUAAACGUUAUAAUUGUAUCGUAGAAAAUUUUAUAACAUUUUUUUCUCAAAUCUGCGUAAAUAUCCUUUAGGUAGGAUCAAAUACGUCGAUUCGAUGAUAAAUGUGCGAAUAACUUUCGUACGAGAUGUAACGAGUAUCAACUGCAUUUUGCAGUAUUUUAUAACGUUGUUCUUUUUCAAACGUUUGCGUAAACAAAUUUUCUUCGACUAUCUUCGUAUAUACGAACUUUGAAUUGACAAAUACGAGUAUGAAUUUGCACAGACGUUUAGUCUAGUACUUUGCUAACAAACACGCGUGAAACUUGUAAAAUAGUACGUGUUAUUUCUGUCCGCUCCAUAACGGGUCGCAUAAGAUUCGUAGUAGCAAACAUUUUGACAUUUCUCAACUUUUCACCGAUACUUUUUUAAACGCCCAUUCUGCUAGACCAUCUAAUCUAGCGGAAAAAAGGUAAACGACGGAAAGAAGCAAGGGUGAAACGCAAUGUACGGACUCUAGCAAUUGCAAUUCUCGCGUUGUUGCAAAACCAUAUCGUCGAACGCGUAUACGCGACUCGAACGCUUGAAAGUGUUCCAGGUCGAUAGAAAUUUGAUUCUCUUCGAACAGAAUUUCCAGUCUAUUACUGUUCGCUCGCUACUCUAUAAAAUUUUCACUACGACAAAUUCCAUCGAUUUCGAAUAAACAAAUGCUCUUCGGACCGUUCUGUUCUCGUCUCUUUUUCUCCUGUUUACCAUCCUUCUCUCUCCUUCUCCGACGAUCGGUAGAAAAGCGUUUUUAUGGAAGCGCUGUUUGGGCACGAAUGAAACUCUCACGACGGGUGUAGCGCUAACAUAACGUAUAUUUAUCGCAUCAGAGUGUUCCUUCGAAAUAUUCACUAUUCCAUUUCCCGAGCCGGAUACUGCUGGCCAGUUUUGCGUCCACUUUAUAGCAGCUGAAUAAAAAGUAAACUAUGAUGCAUCCGUAAAGCCAGAACAGGAUACUCCUGUCUCUCUCCCUCGCUCUCUCAGUCUGCUAGGCUCACCGUCACAUCCAAUCGGUAGUUAAUACUUCAAAUAAUAGUGUCUGCAUGGAUCCAGCGAACUCGCGUGUUUCAGCUAGUGUCAUUUGUCUAACAAGCACAUUCCGACGAUUCCGUGUUUUCUUUCUCUUCUUUUUUUUUUACCAUAUCUGCGCUUGGAACUUUGUUGAAUCGCUUCCAAUUUUCUUUGAACUCGUGUACUCUUCCAAUGCGAGUUGUUUGUAAGCUUAUCGUAAUCAUUAAAAUCAGAAACAACGAGUUUUCGAUUCGAUCCUUUUUCUCAUUUCUCGCGUGUUUUCGUGAUCUUUUUUACUUCGCCAUUCGAUCGCGCUAUUGUACGUUUUCUUUGCUAUUUUCCCCUUUCUAUUUCUUAUUGCGUUCCUCCUCUUUGGACGUUACAUUGUACGGACAACGUAUUGAUACACGAUUUUUCAAGUGACUAACAAUAAACUGCCAUACUCUGAUCGUAUAAGCGAUACGUUCAUCAGAUACACUGCAAGUUGCUCGAACUUUUAGCGAACGGCCGACGUCGUGGUGCAGCUUUAAAGCUGGUCGUUUAGAGAACCGAUGUGGCUGUCCGUUUAACGAAGCACUUGUUUCUCCGUUACUUUUCCUUCUUUUCCAAAAUCGACUCAAGUAUACGUCGGCUAUUUUACUAUUUACACAUACGAAAAAUAAAUGAUCACCUUACGAAGCAACGUUUCGAAGCAGACAAAAUUCUCCCGACGUAUUUCAACGAAGGAGAACAAAAUUUGUUAGCGUUCGGCGUGUACGAUGAAUCGAAAACCACGAAAUUUCUUUCACGUGGAUUGUCAGAACCGGUGGUAAAGUUGAGGUUACCGAGAGUUGGCGAGCGAUGCCCGAUUUCAGGCAAUCGAAGAGUACGCUGAAAUCUUUUCAGCAUAUCGAAUGGAACUCGUGGCGAAAGGUGAACGUAAGUGUGUUUACGUGUUGAAACAUUCCGACGGCAUGCAGAAACUUCUUGAAAGCUUCUUGCCACCGUCCAAUUCGGGAUUAAACUUAUGUCGUACAUAUCCACUGGCCGCGUCCUGUCGUAUCCGGAACUUAACGCGAGUUCGCACUCCAGACUUCCGGGCUUUGUGGCUCUUUCGGAAGGCGAUUCGUAGCCAGCUUGAUCCAAGUUUCUCUACAAGAGGACGCCGUUUACGUUUCGAUUCGUUCGCACCACAAACCUUUCGAUACUGUUACUACAAUAACAACCUGAUCCGUCGAUCGAUUAAUAAACUAACUUCUUGUUUACUUAUUUCGCUUUACUCAAUAUCGAAAUAUAUACAAAAUUUCGCGACAGUAUUUCGAUCGUUUACAGAAACUUCUUCCGAGUAUGUUGUGUGUGUCAUGAAAAAGAUCUUGUACUUCGCACGUAAUACGAUUGACAUGAUUAGCAUACAGUUCAACCUUUUGGGCGCUGCGUUGUCCGACGUUAAGCGCUCGCCGUGGAUUGCCACUCUUUACGAAGAAACACACCGUGGACUGCGUAUUUUUUACGAAAGGCAUCGUAGUCUGCUACACCACACUUUGGUGUUUGCUUUGGUUUGCCAGUUUGAUAAUUAAUUUUUUUUUUUUUUUGUUUUAACGAAACCAUCAGAAUGUGAGAUGGGUGACAUCCAUACGUCUUUUCUAUCACGCCAUUUAACGCAACUUUUAGCCUAAAUUGAAUGGCUGCGUGAGAACGCGUAUAUGCGUUCAUAGCGCUCAAAGGAUUAAAACAAAUUCGAUAAUGUAUUAUACAGAAAUGAUUCUAUCAACGCCAUGUUCUUUUAUAGCCCCACUUACGCGGAAAGCUCUCCGACUGCAUCGUCUCUGCUUCCUCCGCGGCGAUGCGCAAAUUUCAAAUAAAAUCAAAUCUCCGACUUUCUCGGGGAGAGUCGCCUCAAGCCGGCAGUUCCUACUACGAUUUGCAUAUUCCUUGCGUACGAAUUCGCAGCGAAUCACGCAAACGCCGGCGACGGAACGUUACAACGACACCCUCGAUUUGCAACCCCGAAGAAACUUUACGAAGAAUCGAGAAAGAAGCCUUGUUAAGUUCUAGAGAUACCAGCAGCAAUAAUAAUCUGAAUUUGUUGUAUGUAUUUAUUAUAUAUUUAUUUAUUCAUAGAAACAGAUACAGAAGAACACCGAUGAAAGUACACGCAGUAUUCUAAACUAAUUAUCGUACGUGUAAUAUUCUUGUAUAGUAUGUUAUACGUCUGUCUAAGUGUAUAACGAGGAAGAUUGUAAGCUUCAGGCAGAAUCAGUAAUAACUAUUACACGCUUCACUUGAUUAUCUAAUUAAUUAAAUAUAAGACAGGGUGGAAGAAGAAACAUAAAAGAACACAGCGUAGUUGGAGGAAUUAAAAUAGUUAGGACGAUGGAAGAAAAUGACUAAAAACCGUGUUCUUCGAAAGAAAAAACUUGAUAUAUUACUAACGAUAGGUAUAUGAAUAUCUAAACGGAAUUGGAAAAAGGUCCUACAUCCUUAUCAAUACUGCGAAUCAAUCUUCCCAUAUGAACUAAAGUAUUAAGCAUCUAAUGAAUGGAAACAUCGUCGAUAAUUAAAGUUGCAAAGAUAGGAGUUUAGAAGAAGAAUUCGAAAAAUUAACAGAAAUUAUCCGAUAGCUUUUUCCAAGACAAGUUUCAUAAAAUUCCGCUUUUCCAAGUCUAAACUUUCGUUACAUACAAUUGUGAAACAUAACCUUGAUGAAACUUAAACGUACUUGAAGAUUAACCGAAACUUGUUAUAAAGUCAUAAUUUUCGUUCUUGGGAAAGACAAUCGAUGAGGAUCGAGAGGGUAAAGACUGCAGUAACGAACGGAGUUAGAUCGGCUGAGCCAAUCCAACGCAAACGAACAAACUCAAAUCAUCGACGGUCGACUAGCAUAGUAAUACGAAUGCCCUUCGUCAGAAUUCGUGCAAUUCCAAGCUUGCCGAUGAAUUCGUCGCCAGCCGUGCGAUUUCUCUUUGUGAAAGGGCAACGAGAACGACCGAAUAAGCCGGAAUUUUAAGCUAUAAAACUUUCGCAAUUACCGAGUGUUCGGUAUCCUGAAAAAGUUAGGCAAGUACCUGCCACACUAAACAAGAUCGCUAUCACCAACCUCGUUUUCUCUCCUUUUUACCGCUUUUUCUGUUAAUGCUAUUUCUCGUCAGUGUUUAUUUGUUAAAAAUCCAUUAAAUCCAUCGAAUCGUUCAAAAUGAUCUAUCUCGUAAAUUAUCUAGCCAGAAGAUAAAAAAAAGUAAGCAAAAGUUGGAAAAAUUGUUUCGAAAGGUUCGUUCAUACACCGCGUUGUAUCUAACAUUCGAAGACCACAGAGGAAAUACAAUACAUGACACGUCACAUUCUUUCCAAAAAUCAGGAAAGUGACUACCGUGAUGAACAAUGUCGCUACUACCACUGCUAUUUUUCUCUUUUCCGCGUCUUUCUCUAGCUUUGCUGGUCUUUUUGCUAAGCCCGUCUGUCUCUCUUUCGCCGUUUCUUUAUUUCUUUUGUUUCUUGCAUGAUUCUCCCGACCAUCCGGAUUCACGAACCAGCGAAUCGAAGAGAGAAAAGUGUUGGAAUGUGCAAUAAAGCGGUGUGGAAUUGCCGACGCGUACAAUAGCAAUCGAAGACACAAAGGUUUUUCUAUAAAUCCUCGCAGUGACACGACGCGCGGCCGUCCCCGAUUCGAUUAUCUUGUCCCGGGUUCUUCUGAUUUUUACGUUUGUUCUUUUAUUGCAAAUUCGAGCGCCAUCCGUCCGCUCGACGAAACCGUUGUUCCGUAUCGACCUAUGCUCCCUUCAAAACGAUUUCAUUCUACAUUGCCAACAAUUUACUUUCUAGAUAAUUUGUUUCUAAACUUCCUCUUCCAUAGCAAAUAAACUCGAGUGAAAAUUCAACAUUAUAAUUGCAUAAUACGCUCAACGAUCUUCCCCGAUAUUUCUAAUAAUUUGAAAAAUAAUUACAAACAUAUUCGCGAAUUGGAUAUGUUAUUGGACGCUAUGAAAAUAUAAAAUGUGAAAGAUUUUCGACUGACAUUUUUAAAACAAUAGCCUCAUUGAGAUAAUGAAGCUUGAACGUGACUUUGAAUAGCGAAUUCAGACAGCAAAAAUAAAAAUAUCAGAAAGUAAAAACAAUGAACAAAAAUAGAGAGGAAAAAUAUCGAUGCUUCGAGAUUAUGCAUUAACGAAAUUAAAAAAUUUACAUUGAGUAUUAUUUGCGCAGGUGCAUGUGGCAAAAAUAACGCGGGGCGAAUCUAUUUCCAUGGAAAUAUCGUGGCAGCUGUUAAACGAACUGAUUUCCAGCGAAAUUAAUGCAUUCAAUUGUAAACAGCUAUGAAAUUGCAAAUCUUUUUUAAUUAUGUUGAAAGCCACUCGGCGAAGCUACAAUCUAGCCAGGAAAUAACAGGCGGAAAGUCAGAUUUGUAGAUGGAGGGUAAAAAAGGUUCCCCUUUGCAAAAGCGCAAGCUUUUCGAUCGGAUAGUAGAUCACGUUUCAAAAAUUCGUUUGAAAAAUAUUGCUGAUAAAUGAAUAUGUAUUACGUCAUUCUGAAAAUUUCCACAAUUUUUGUUGUAUCUGGGUUUUAACGGCGUAUAAAUAUUUCAAAUACUAAUGAAAUAUAGUCGGAUAUAUAUACAUACGCACUAUUAUAUUCGUAGUAAUUCGUACUUUCUUUCUUUAGAGUAUAAUAUAUCUUAUAUUGCAUAAUAAAUCUUCGAGAAAAUAGAAAACUUUACAAGAAUCGUGUCAAUUGGGCAGAUUUUUACAUUUUCCAUUUGCUUAACAAUUUUCUUACGCAAAGAGAUUUAAGAAACUGAAAAAUAUGUUUCUACAUUGCGUCUCUCUCCCAUAGAAAUUUAGAUUUGGUCAUGAAAAUAACGUAUCGAACAUUAUGGAAAUUAGUUUGAAAGGUAAGUUCGAUUUCGAAAGAACUACGUUCCUUCGGAAUGAAUAGCUCAAAACUUAAUCACGGAAAUUUUCAAGAUGAUUUAAUAGUUUCAAAAAUAGAAGAAUAUUUUAUUAUCGAUUAAUAUAAUAUGUUAUUGAAACAGGAGUAGUACCUCUUUAGUUAGUACUUCUGAACUACCUAUUAAUCCAUUCGAGCUUCAUUUAAGAUUAAUUACCGAGAAUUGAUUUUCGGGACAAAUGAUUUUUAGUAUUUCACUGAAACGCUGAAAAAUUGAACGUUAGUCAGAAAGCCUUUCUAUUCAGAACCGUCGGUUGUACUAUAAGGAUAUCAUUGAAAUUCAUACGAGAUUCAUGGUACUUAUCCGCAGGGACAACGUGGCCUUAAGGAUACAAUACUACCUUAGACAACGUCGUUCGUAGGUAAUACUUUUUUAUAUCUCGCCAUACGCUAUUUCACGGUGAAGUUGAGAAGAUUAUUAUAUAAAUUUUAAUCAGAACCGUAGUUAACACUUAAUCGAAUCCCAAGAAAAUAAAUGGCAAUUCUAACGAAAUGAACUUGCUUUCUCAGCUCAAACAAAAAAGACUAAUAAAAAUAGAUUAAUUGGAGCCGAGUGCAGGUUGUAUUUCUUAUCCUGGAUUACAAGAAUCCGUUGAAACUUUCAAUUUUUCAUGGUAUUUUUGAGGGUUAGAAAACUUCAACCGCCAAUGAAUAUUCCUUAAAACGUUAAUACGUUUAUCGCAACUACGCGCUCCGUUGCAGGAUUUUGAAAUUUUUCUGGCUAGCACCGAUCUUCUACGUUAAAUUACUAUUUUCGAUUACGAACCAGCCAGCAUAAGAAAAGGAAGAGAGAGUCGCGCGAUUCAGGAAACAAUAUACCACAUCAGAGAAGGCUAUCAUAUUCCGAUAUUGUUUCGCCAGUGAGGUGAAUUCUCGUUUUACCACGUUCGCCGAUAAUACGCGGAUAAUGCGCCAGAGACAAUGUAUUUGAAUUUAAUACGACGUAUUGUGCGUAUGUUUGCCGUCGACGUUUGUCUCAUUGAUUCGUCAGCGUCCCAGAAACUAUGGCUGGGAAACGCGUCUCCCGAUCGGCCGACAAUUAGUCCGAACGCGAAAUUGUUCCACGUGGACCACAGUUACGAAAUCGCAGGUAAUUUCGCGGCCGCUCGAAUAUCCCGCCGGCUUAUUACGCUCGACCAUUGUUCCGUAAUUGUUUUCGCGAUCGUUCCACCUCUAAUCGGACUCAACUAUCUCGCGGCAUGUACUGUUAUCGCAGUGAACUUACGGCCUGUUCUUUUUGUACCGUGCGCAUAUGAAAGAGCUUUGUUCGGCCUGAUUUAUUCUCCGCGCUUCUGUCCUCCGAGAGCACUCAGCAAGUGUAUGUUUGAAGUUUGUUACGCAGAGUAUCUUGCUUCUAUGUAGCUGUUAGUACCUUUCGUUGCAGAUUGCUAGUCAACCGAUUAUAUCAGCAAAUAUUUGAUACGAACGGAAAUUUUAUAGCAUCAGGUACGAAAAUUAUAAUGCGAUCGUAAUGAUCAUUUACGCGUCAUACGAUAAGCAAGAAUUAAAUUUUCAUUUGCGUGUUUCUAAUAAUUUGCACGUUGUACGAUAAGGGAACGUUCAUUCUGAAAACAUCACUAAUUCUUAACUGGUCUGUUUAGCGUUAAAACGUUGUCUUCUUAAAUGUUGCUUGCCAUUUCAUUCGAGUUAAGAAAACGUUGCGCUCUUAACAUCGCGUUUAUCCGAUUGCUAGAAAGUUUAGGUGCAGCAACGGCAAGAAAAACGUCACGAGCGGAGAAAAUAUCGUGCCCUGCAUCAACGUGGAACGACGAGAAAUUCCGUAACUUAAUUAAAAGAUAAUCAAUUCGGGAAAACGUGAAACAUUCUACUCUGUUUUGAAUUCGCCUUAGUUUUACUUAGUUAGACGACUUUGUAAGAUAGGUCAACUAUGCUCUCGCAUAGUUUUCGAAUCGUUUUCGAUGAACGCAAUUAUUUUCGUUGCCCAUGUCGGAUUCCAGAAAUAAUUAAAUUGCCAAAUCAGUUUCGCACGGCGUUGAAACGCGUGGGACAACGGCUUUAUCGAGGUUAAAACGGGAAUGGUCUCGUGGCUGGAACGCAACGAAAUUCCAUCAUGUUGUUCAGUGUGUUCCUCGUGUUUUCGUUUUGGUCUUCCACAAAGCGAACGCGCCAUGCGCCUUGACGCGAGGAGAAUAAAGAGACCGACGAAACAUCGGUAGAAAAUGAAACGAUCUCGCUUUAUCACGAGAGAGGUGCCGAAUAUUAAUUAGAAAUUUCAGUUGGUUGCAUUAUAUUACAUUAUUGCGUUAACUAUAAAUCGCAGUCGAUCGAACAAUUAUAAAUAAAUUAUUAUAAAUAAAUAUUAAAGUACAAAUUGUACAAAAGUGAUUACGUAUGGACGGUAUAUAAUGAAAAAAUAAUAAUUUUAUUUUCUACUACGCAAUUAUACAGAUAUCUGUCUGAAAAUAAUUGGUUUCUGACAAACAAAAAAAAAAAAAAAAGAAAA